GUCUACAGCCAUACCACCCUGAAUGUGUCCAAUCUUAUCUGAUCUUGGAAGCUGAACAGGGUCAGGUCUGGUUAGUACUUUGGUGGGAGUCAAAAAGACUCAACUUGCCAGGCACGCAUACCUGUAAUCC
ensembl:rRNA 5S_rRNA 5S ribosomal RNA